UACAGAGACUGCAAGCGUUAUUCGGAUUCACUGGGCGUAAAGGGUGCGCAGGCGGCCAAGUGUGUGAGGCGUGAAAGCCUGGGGCUUAACUCCAGAAUUGCACCUCAAACUAUAUGGCUAGAGCAUUGGAGAGGGUAGCAGAAUUCACGGUGUAGCAGUGAAAUGCGUAGAUAUCGUGAGGAAUACCAGAGGCGAAGGCGGCUACCUGGACAAUUGCUGACGCUCAGGCACGAAAGCGUGGGGAGCAAAAGGG
rnacentral:rRNA from 1 species